rnacentral:ncRNA from 1 species
AAUGAAACAUUGAAGAGAAGAGUAAUUGAUCACGAGACGAUUAAAGAGACCCUUGGUAGGUGAAAAGAGGGAUCGAGGAAAAUCAAUGAAGAUGAACUCUGAGUAUUUGGUUUUGUUCACGCAAACUAAACGGGAAGCGACCGUUAUAUCGCCGGGUAUAAUUUGUACCGGUGAGGUAUUGUUUGGAAGAACAAUGCGAAUAAGGGUGGUAACGCGAAAAUAUUCGUCCCUUUA